AGCAAUACCGCACUGAUAUGGAUAUGGAUCCGAAGCCUCUCGAAGGAUAAUACAGGCUCUCCAUACCCUACUCCGACUCAAUACGUCCACUGUGUACAGAACGGCAACAUAGCUCUUCAAAUAUCUAAGCUUGAGUUUAUGGGGAAACUCAACCCUUUGGGAAAGUUGGGUUAUAAUGCUAAAUUGAGCGGA
rnacentral:ribozyme from 1 species